UCAAGUGGUGGGAGGAACGCAUCCUCUGCGCAGAGUCUGAAAUAAAGAACUGGCUCUUAUCCAUGACAACGUGACUGAGUCUUUAGUAUUAAUUGCAAACCCUAUCGUGACAAUUUUAUUUACCACGACAAAGGUUUGCCCAGAUUGCAGUAGAAAGGGGACCUCCAAUAAUGCUCCUAACAUGAAAAAGAUAGCUUUGGGAUUAGAAUUUACAAGCUGAGAAAGAAAAUGAACAGAAGCAAAUCCUUUGGAGCCAGGAAACAUUUUGGACUGAUCCUGAGAACACAGAAUAUUUAUUUAAAAGAUGCACCAUUGAAGCAUCCUAUCCAGAGACAUCACAGCUUGGCAAUGGCAACUGCUGCACCCAAGACAUCAAGAAAUUACAGAGUUGUAAAUGCAGCCCAGUCCAUCACAAGAACCAGCCUUCCUUCCAUUGACUCCAUCUAUACCUCCCACUGCCUCAGGAAAGCAGGCAACAUAAUCAAAGACCCCCUCCCACCCCAGUUACACUCUCUUCCAUCGGGCAGAGGAAAUAAAAGUUUGAAAACAUGUACAAACAGAUUCAAGAACAGCUUCUUCCCUGCUGUCAUCAGACUUACAAAAGGACCUCUCAAACUAUCUCUGUACCUUCUCUGCAACUACUGACACUAUUCUACAUUUUGUUCCAUUACUCAUUUAUAUAAAAGUAUGAUUUGUCUGGAUAGCAUGCAAAACAAUACUUUUCACUGUCGUACAUGUAACACUAAUAAAUCAAGUCAAAACAAA